UAAAAGUCUUAGUGCGUUUUAAGCUAUUUUAAGGGCUUAAAAUAAACUAAGACUUUUGG
rnacentral:pre_miRNA from 1 species